rnacentral:rRNA from 1 species
GGCGGCAGGCCUCAAACAUGCAAGUCUAGGGGGUGCAGCAAUGCAUCACCGGCGGACGGGUGCGUAACACGUGGGAAUAUACCUUUCGGUACGGAACAACUGCGGGAAACUGCAGCUAAUACCGUAUACGUCCUUACGGAGAAAGAUUUAUCGCCGAAGGAUUAGCCCGCGUUCGAUUAGCUAGUUGGUGGGGUAAUGGCCCACCAAGGCAACGAUCGAUAGCUGUUCUGAGAGGAAGAUCAGCCACACUGGGACUGAGACACGGCCCAGACUCCUACGGGAGGCAGCAGUUGGGAAUCUUGGACAAUGGGGGAAACCCUGAUCCAGCCAUGCCGCGUGAGUGAUGAAGGCCUUCGGGUUGUAAAGCUCUUUUACCCGGGAAGAUAAUGACUGUACCGGGAGAAUAAGCUCCGGCUAACUUCGUGCCAGCAGCCGCGGUAAUACGAAGGGGGCUAGCGUUGUUCCGGAAUU